rnacentral:rRNA from 1 species
AGCGAACGCUGGCGGCGUGCCUAACACAUGCAAGUCGAACGUGAAAGGGAGCAAUCCCAUGUAAAGUGGCGUACGGGUGAGUAACACGUAGGUAAUCUACCCCAGAAUCUGGAAUAACCGGCCGAAAGGCUGGCUAAUACUUGAUAGAGCGACGGAAUCCGUAAUUGGGUUUUCCGGGAAAGGGAGCCUGUAAACAGGCCUUCGUUCUGGGAUGAGCCUGCGUCCCAUCAGCUAGUUGGUGAGGUAAAAGCUUACCAAGGCAAUGACGGGUAGCUGGUCUGAGAGGACGAUCAGCCACACUGGAACUGAAACACGGUCCAGACUCCUACGGGAGGCAGCAGUGGGGAAUCUUGCGCAAUGGACGAAAGUCUGACGCAGCAACGCCGCGUGAGUGAAGAAGGCCUUCGGGUUGUAAAGCUCUGUCGAGUGGGACGAAAAUGCUUGGAGUUCACAGCUCCAGGAACUGACGGUACCACUAAAGGAAGCACCGGCUAACUCCGUG